AGGGGCAGCGGGGGUAGCGAUACCCGCCGGCGACCGGCGCACGGGUGAGUAACGCGUAUGCAACUUACCUAUCAGAGGGGGAUAACCCGGCGAAAGUCGGACUAAUACCGCAUGAAGCAGGGGCCCCGCAUGGGGAUAUUUGCUAAAGAUUCAUCGCUGAUAGAUAGGCAUGCGUUCCAUUAGGCAGUUGGCGGGGUAACGGCCCACCAAACCGACGAUGGAUAGGGGUUCUGAGAGGAAGGUCCCCCACAUUGGUACUGAGACACGGACCAAACUCCUACGGGAGGCAGCAGUGAGGAAUAUUGGUCAAUGGACGCAAGUCUGAACCAGCCAUGCCGCGUGCAGGAUGACGGCUCUAUGAGUUGUAAACUGCUUUUGUACGAGGGUAAACGCAGAUACGUGUAUCUGUCUGAAAGUAUCGUACGAAUAAGGAUCGGCUAACUCCGUGCCAGCAGCCGCGGUAAUACGGAGGAUUCAAGCGUUAUCCGGAUUUAUUGGGUUUAAAGGGUGCGUAGGCGGUUUGAUAAGUUAGAGGUGAAAUUUCGGGGCUCAACCCUGAACGUGCCUCUAAUACUGUUGAGCUAGAGAGUAGUUGCGGUAGGCGGAAUGUAUGGUGUAGCGGUGAAAUGCUUAGAGAUCAUACAGAACACCGAUUGCGAAGGCAGCUUACCAAACUAUAUCUGACGUUGAGGCACGAAAGCGUGGGGAGCAAACAGGAUUAGAUACCCUGGUAGUCCACGCAGUAAACGAUGAUAACUCGUUGUCGGCGAUACACAGUCGGUGACUAAGCGAAAGCGAUAAGUUAUCCACCUGGGGAGUACGUUCGCAAGAAUGAAACUCAAAGGAAUUGACGGGGGCCCGCACAAGCGGAGGAACAUGUGGUUUAAUUCGAUGAUACGCGAGGAACCUUACCCGGGCUUAAAUUGCAACCGAAUAUGGCGGAAACGCUAUAGCUAGCAAUAGCGGUUGUGAAGGUGCUGCAUGGUUGUCGUCAGCUCGUGCCGUGAGGUGUCGGCUUAAGUGCCAUAACGAGCGCAACCCUUGUUGUCAGUUACUAACAGGUUCUGCUGAGGACUCUGACAAGACUGCCAUCGUAAGAUGUGAGGAAGGUGGGGAUGACGUCAAAUCAGCACGGCCCUUACGUCCGGGGCUACACACGUGUUACAAUGGGGGGUACAGAGGGCCGCUACCACGCGAGUGGAUGCCAAUCCCCAAAACCUCUCUCAGUUCGGACUGGAGUCUGCAACCCGACUCCACGAAGCUGGAUUCGCUAGUAAUCGCGCAUCAGCCACGGCGCGGUGAAUACGUUCCCGGGCCUUGUACACACCGCCCGUCAAGCCAUGGGAGCCGGGGGUACCUGAAGUGCGUAACCGCAAGGAGCGCCCUAGGGUAAAACUGGUGACUGGGGCUAAGUCGUAACAAGGUAGCCGUACCGGAAGGUGCGGCUG
rnacentral:rRNA from 1 species